GGAGGGGUGCAAACGUUGUCCGGAAUUACUGGGCGUAAAGGGCGCGUAGGCGGACUUGUAAGUCAGGAGUGAAAACUCAGGGCUCAACCCUGAGCCUGCUUCUGAAACUGCAAGUCUUGAGGACCGGAGAGGAAAGUGGAAUUCCUAGUGUAGCGGUGGAAUGCGUAGAUAUUAGGAAGAACACCAGUGGCGAAGGCGACUUUCUGGACGGUACCUGACGCUGAGGCGCGAAAGCUAGGGGAGCAAACAGGAUUAGAUACCCUGGUAGUCCUAGCUGUAAACGAUGAGUGCUAGGUGGUGGUAGUUUCAACGCUUUCACUGCCGAAGCUAACGCAUUAAGCACUCCGCCUGGGGAGUACGGCCGCAAGGUUG
rnacentral:rRNA from 1 species